GGGCGGAUGGUUUAGUGGUAUAAUACUCCCUUAGCAUGACUUCAUCUCAUGGAGCAUAGAAUUGGGAGUGGUCCGGGGUUCGAUUCCCCGUCUGUCCA
rnacentral:tRNA from 1 species